rnacentral:rRNA from 1 species
AACGAACGCUGGCGGCAUGCCUAACACAUGCAAGUCGAACGAAACCUUCGGGUCUUUGCGCCCCCGGCGUCGUCACGCGUGGGAAGCUGCCCUUAUGUUUGGAAUAACUCCCCGAAAGGGGUACUAAUACCGGAUAAUGUCUUCGAACCAAUGACAUAUCGCCUUUGAAUGUUCCCCCGUGGGAUUCGCUAGUUGUUAGGGUAAAAGCCUACCAAGGGGCGGAUCCAUAACUGGUUUGAGAGAAUGGGCAGCGACACUGGGACUGGGACACGGCCCAGACUCCUACGGGAGGCAGGAGUGGAGAAUAUUGGACAAUGGGCGGAAGCCUGAUCCAGCAAUGCCGCGUGAGUGAUGAAGGCAUUAGGGUUGUAAAGCUCUUUUACCCGGGCUGAUAAUGACAGUACCGGGAGAAUAAGCUCCGGCUAACUACGUG